AGAGGCUCCUGGUGCAGACCCGCCUGACCCCAAACAGCCACGGGUCCAAUGUCAUUAAAAAAUGACCAUCCCGUCGCAGAGCGUGUGAUCCCAGUGAUGUGAAACCUCCAGAACGGGCAGAUCCACAGACAGAGAGCGGCCCCAGCUCUCAGCAGCCAGCUCCUAAAACCCUUGACCCGCCUGCGUGAGCAGAGGGCGCGUCUUUCCUCAUGACAUCUGGUCCUGGAACAGCCCCAGAGCAUUGAGGGGAAAGAAGCAUCUUUCACUAUUGUUUGACCCCAGAGAGGAUCAGGGCAGGAAAUGAAUGUCAAUCACAGAGCGGCAGGGCCAGAGGGUCAUGGGAAUAAUGGAGCCGGCCACCCGUUCUGCGGACGGGAGACAGAAGCAGGAGAAGACAGCCCGAGGUCAUCCAAGGUCGCUCAAGGUCACCCAAGGUCGCACGGCAUGGGGCAGCCCCCCCCCCACCCCCCGUAAAAGAUUUCCCUGGAAACAGACAAGAGCACAGACCUCCAUUCUCAGUGACAUUUAUUUCACAUAAAAAUCCCCCAAAGCUUGUGGAAAUGGCAUCUGAACCUCACGACGGUCCGCAUAACAAACCGUUUUCGUUUUUUAAAAACCGCAAAACUCGCCAUCUGGGGUGGGGGAGGGGCGUGUGAACUACGAGUUUGGUAGGGGGGAUUUAUGACAACACGUCCCACGGGGCCCACGAGGAAAGCCCAAAGCCCGAGUCGCCGAGGGCCGGGCGUCCGCUGCAUCUUGGCUGGAACCGCCUGUGGAUACGAAUCUACCGCAAAGACGACCCCGCGGGGGGAGGGACGCGGGGGGCAGCCUGCCUGGACAUGGUGGCCCCGUUUGGUCUCAUGCCUGAGGACAGGCGGCAGGUCUGGGGACCCAGCUCCCUGGGGGUCUCUCUCUAUCCUGGAGGGGCUGCUGCGGCCAAGCGGGGGUCCUCGGUUCCGCUUGCCCGUCGUCUGUGGCUGCUGGUGGUCCGGAGGGGCGCUGGGUGGGCCCGGUGGUCCCUGUUGGAAUGGUGAGUCUGCAGACCCCUCGAGGGGGCCCUGAAAUCUCCCCGUUUGUGUCAUCUGUCACCUCUGCAGGCACUCGGUUGUGGCGGGAUUGGGGAGAACGCGUGAGUUCCAUCCCGGCUCCUUCUGUGAGCUUGGAGUGAGCCCCCAGACUUCCAGGAGUCACCGCCUUCCUGCGGGUGGCCGUCUGGGGCCCUCCGGACCGUGCGUGGGUCUCCGAGGGGCUGCACUGACCACCUGAACCCAGAGUUUAGGGCCCCGGAGGGAGGGGCCCGAUGGAGGGCAGCCUGGAGGGGCCCGUCUGCCAGCCUCUGCUGCGUGAGGCUCCGGGGGCCACACUUGGGCCCAGAACACCGCCCCUGCCCUUCAUCUGACAUCUGGGAAACAGCAGAAACACAAAUUAAAAAACCCCGCCAGACCCCCAAAUGCCCUGGCCCCACGGGGGCUGUGCUGGGACCUGGAAGAUGCCUGGCCCAAGCUCGCUGGGAGGCCUGGCAUUUUUCAUGGCGUUGGGGCAAUUCCUCGAUGGUCAGGACCCCCUCCCACAUGGCAAAGUUGGGCGUCCCCUUCUGGCGGCACUCACGCCACCAGCUCCCUCCUGCCACGGGAUGGCCCCAAACACACCCCCUUCAAUGUCCAGGACCAGGCAGCACUCGACGACAUUCCCACCGAGGCCCAGAAACGCAGGCCAACCGAGCCUCGACGACACCCGCUAAAAAGCCAGCUGGAGGGACCCCACAGCGUGCCAGCUCGAUUCCGCUCAGAGUCACAGAAAUAAAGACUCAGGAUUGGAGGGGACCACAGAUGACCGCUUUCUGCAAGCGCCAUUCAGCCAUUUCUUUAAAUGCCCCCAGAGACGGGGAGCUCACUACCUCGAGAGGCCACUUGACUGGUGUUUGGACCGCAUUAGAAAAAGUUUAUCUUCCGUCCAAGAGAGAUUUGCCUCCUUUGAACGCAGGUGUCCAUUGUGUCCAGGCCACCGGGAUUUCUUUUCCCGAGCGACCUUCGCAACGCUGCGAAAUCCCAUACCCUGUCUCUUCCUUUUUCUCGGUCUGUAUUUCCGGUACAAGCCUACAUUAGAGAUGGUUUCUCAGCCUCCGCUCUCGGUGGGAGCCCCAGGGGGCUCAUCCCAACCCCAUUUUCGGGGGGGAUCGGGGAAGUGGGGACGGCUCAUUCCCUCGGGAGGAGGUACGUUACAGAUCGGGGUCGCCCUGUGGUGUGGCAUCUGAGUUAAAGGGGCUUGAGAAUGUUCUGGAUGGAGACGGGAGUGUAUUUCUGAGACUGGAGGACAAGGAAAAGCCACGAGGUCGAAGGCCGGGAGGUGCCCGGGGCCCCACCCUGCGGGGGGCUGAGCUCCCCGGUCAGAUGCCCAGGGCUGCGGGGGCCGUUCUGGGAGGAAGGCACGAGAACAAAUCCAGACCCGGCUGGGGAGUGGGCGUCUGUGGCUCCAACCUGGGACAGGUGACGAGCAAGAGAAGGGUCUCGAACCAGGACUUUGUACAGUGGGAGGGGCCCGAGGCCACCGAGGACACACUGGCCACGCCCUGUGCUGCUCACUCUUCUCGGCCGGGACUUCAUGAGCGUGGAAGGAUGGAGGGCUGAGAACCGGGUCCUUUUCCAGAACGUGCUAGUACCGCAUCGUUAAAAAAAAAUGUUUCCAAGCAGCUAAAAAGGAUGCUGGGCUUCAGAGAUGGAUGGAGACUGGAACCCUCUGAAGAUGGGACUCAGGAGGAGGCGGGGGCGAGAUCCGGGGCCAGAGGGCGUCUGACAGAGGUUUCUUGGCGUCUGGAAUCUUCUUUGUGUCCUUCUCUGUCCUCACGUCACCUCAGGACAUGCUGAAGAGAGUAAAACACAGCCAAGUUACUAUUGUUUUUAAAGAAAGUGGAAAAUGCUGUUGCAGGUGCAUGGAAUCCAAAAGAAUGACCUAAUCUGGCUUUGGUGCACCCUUGGUAGCAAGAAAGGCACCUGCCCUUUGGGGUCGGUCACCUGCCACUGACCUUCCAGAUGGGGUUCUGAAGAGGACCUCUCUUUUGGUCCAGCCUAAGAACAGGCCCUGGGCCGGUGCCCUCAGUCAGACAAGAGGGAGGCUUCAACUCACCCAUCCACUCACCCAUCCACCCAUCCACCCAUCCGUCUGUCUGUUCAUCCAUCCGUCCAACCAUUCACCCAGCCACCCAUCCAUCUGUCUG